rfam:Ovis aries breed Texel chromosome 12, whole genome shotgun sequence.
UCCCUCGUGGUCCAGCGGCUAAGGCUCUGCACUCCCAGUGCAGGAGGCCCAGGUUCGGUCCCUGGUCAGGGAA